rnacentral:rRNA from 1 species
AUUGAACGCUGGCGGCAGGCCUAACACAUGCAAGUCGAGCGGAUGAAGGGAGCUUGCUCCUGGAUUCAGCGGCGGACGGGUGAGUAAUGCCUAGGAAUCUGCCUGGUAGUGGGGGAUAACGUCCGGAAACGGGCGCUAAUACCGCAUACGUCCUGAGGGAGAAAGUGGGGGAUCUUCGGACCUCACGCUAUCAGAUGAGCCUAGGUCGGAUUAGCUAGUUGGUGGGGUAGAGGCCUACCAAGGCGACGAUCCGUAACUGGUCUGAGAGGAUGAUCAGUCACACUGGAACUGAGACGCGGUCCAGACUCCUACGGGAGGCAGCAGUAGGGAAUAUUGGACAAUGGGCGAAAGCCUGAUCCAGCCAUGACGCGUGUGUGAAGAAGGUCUUCGGAUUGUAAAGCACUUUAAGUUGGGAGGAAGGGCAGUAAGUUAAUACCUUGCUGUUUUGACGGUACCAACAGAAUAAGCACCGGCUAACUUCGUG